CUGCCUCUCGCCAUUGACUGCUGGAGAUAGGCACCAGCACCCCUCGCCAUCCCAACAAGGAUAAGGGUGUAGGAAAAUGGAUGGUAAUAAAUUAGUACAAAAAGUCAUUCAAGUUUGGGUAAUGUUCUCUCAAAACACCACCUCUUCCUGUCUGUGGAUGUGAGCACACCAUUCUAUAACAGUCUAAUCUUGAAUGGCAAGUUGGAUAAGUACAUCAGGAAGAUAAGUAGAAAAAUAUGGACGGUUUAUAGUUGUCACUACAAACUAUCCAUAUUUUAUAUAAAUAUGAUGACACCAAGUACUGUAAUAUAAAUAAAAAAAUAACUGUUCCUUUAACUUUGUUAAAAGGUGCAGUUUGCCGUGGCCAAAGGUCUGACUGGAUUGUCCUGAACAGAUGAGCUGUGCCGUCCCCAAAAGGCUGAAUGAUGGAUGUUUCCUGCACCACAAGAAUUAAAUGGCCUACAAAUAUGCCAUAAGUGAAAUGUACUACAUUUAAUGUAAACAAAUUGCAUUAAUUAAAUAAAUGAAAUACUCUUA